UUCAUCUAAUUCAAUGUCACAAAAAUUUAAUUUAGGGUUGAUGGAACUUUGAAACUUGUAGUAAUAUGAUAUGCCAGCAGUACGAAUUGUUAAAUUGAUGUUACAGAUGUGUAUACCUUGAAGAAAUGUAGGAUGGAUUGUGGACACAGGUGAUUCAGCGGCUCACCUCCAGAAGAACUGGUGCAAUUCUGUACUGCCAUUGAGUCGCAGUAAGAAAUAGUUUUAAGUUUAUUUUUCAGUAUUCUACUAUUGGAAAGUCUUGCUAAACCGUGUGGCAAUGAAAUCACGUUUGACUCAGCAAAAAGGUAAGCUGCCAGGUGGGAAGGAUGAUUAAUUGUCAUCCUACUGUAAUGCGGAACUGGUCAGCUGCAUGGCAUCGAAUAGAAGUGCAACGAGCUUAUUUUUAGGAUCUUUCAGUAUACAAAUCCCAUAAUGGAACUUCUUAAAAUGGUAGGCUGUUUCAAGGAUUACCUGGGGAAAAAAAAAUUGUGUAGUCGCAAUGGUUGAGAAUUAAAAGUUAGUAGUUGAAAUGAAAAUAGAUAUCCGAUUCUCUUUUUCAAUCCUUUUUCAUUUCAUACUUGCAUUUAUAAAAAUGCGAGUAAAACUUGAGUUCUAUAAAUCGCAUAUCUCGUGUAAGAAAACGACUUAAGAUUCCAAGGGUUACGUGGAACAGGUGCGUGACCUGUGACUUGUGUCAAAAUGUGCGACGAAUGUGCGCUUAUUCGUCACUGGCCUUCCAGGAUUUUGCAUCGAUGCAGAUUUUUGAUGAGGCUGAAAACUGCAACCAGAAUGCAAGGUGGAAAACUGCGGAAUUGAAAUGGUACGUAAUCAACAAAGCCUGAGCAAAAAAUGCAAUUGGAAGCCAAGUUAGAAGAACAGAACAAGCUGAGGUACACACUACUUCUACAUUGCUAACU